GUCCACGCCCUAAACUAUGUCAACUAGUUGUCGGGGAAGCAAUUCCUUGGUAACGAAGCUAACGCGUGAAGUUGACCGCCUGGGGAGUACGGUCGCAAGAUUAAAACUCAAAGGAAUUGACGGGGGCCCGCACAAGCGGUGGAUGAUGUGGAUUAAUUCGAUGCAACGCGAAAAACCUUACCUACCCUUGACAUGGCAGGAAGCCCGAUGAGAGUCGGGUGUGCUCGAAAGAGAGCCUGCACACAGGUGCUGCAUGGCUGUCGU
rnacentral:rRNA from 1 species